AGAGAGAGUAGUCAAAGAAGUCCCCAGAAGGAGGUCACACCUCAGAUCAGUUCUGAAAGGAAGUUUUGAGAAUGUGCUUAGAGUCACAGACUUGAGUCUACAUUUUUAUUCCACCACUUGCUGGCUUCCUGGCAUUGGGAAAGUUAUACAACCUUUCUUGCAGAAAAAUGGGACCAUAAGAAAAAGACUGGCAAGCAAUCCAGAGAAUUUUCUGACAGCUGAGAAGACAUAUGAUUCCACCCAGGAUAUGACACUACAUUUUUGCCAUGGACAAAAUGUUUGCAUUUCCCCAAAAUUCGUAUGUUGGGGUCCUAAUGUGGAGGGGUUUGGAGGUAGGGCCUUUGGAAGAUAGCUGGGUUUGGAUGAGGUCAUGAAGGUGGAGCCCCCACAAUGAGACUGAUGCCCUUGGAAGGGAAUGAAAAGCACAGAGUGUAUUAUCUUUGCCAAGUGUGAACAUAGCAAGAAGAUAUCACCUAUGAACCAGGAAGACAGCCCUCACCCGGCACCGAAUCUGCUGCUGCCUUGAUCUGGGAAUUAACAGCUUCUGGAAUUGUAAGAAAUAAAUGUUUGCUCUUUAAGCUAUGCAGUCUAUUGUGCACUUGAUACAGCAGCCCAAACUGACUAAGGCGAUAUAGUCGUCACACCUCCAUAGACUGUUCUUGGCUGUGCCUGUAUCUCAGGCUUGCCCUAUUUUUGAUGACCUUGAGUUUUGAGUUGCAAUGCUGAGGUAUUUUGUAGGAUUUCUCUCUAUUGGAAUUUGCCUGAUGUUUUGACUGUGGUUAUGGGUGUUGGGGAGGCAGGCACAGGGGUGAAAUGCCAUUUUCAUUACAUCAUAUUCUUGACUCCUCUCUUGAUCUCACAGAGCUCAGCGAAUCCGUGAGCAAAUCCCUAUGAUUUUUGGCAUGCUUCCAAAAUCUAAUCCAUUAACAACACUCCACACCACCACCGCGGCCCAUGUUAUUAGCAUCUUUGUCCUGGAUGGUUUUAAUAGCUUCUUAACUGAUCUGCCUUCUUCUUCUCCUCGAACCAUGGAGAAGCCAGAAUAAGAUCAGGGUAAGAUUUUUAAGUCAUAACGUUUCACUCCUCAAGUCAAGGCCUUCACUACAUUCUCUUCUUGCUCAAAGUAAAAGCCCUGCUCUCUUUACCAUGGUCCACAGGACCCUAUGUGACUUCUCCUCUCUCCUGUCUCCGACUGUAUCUCCCAAAAGUUCACACUCAGAACCCAUCCUCCCCUUGUCUAUUUAUGUAAAGCACUUUCGAGUCUCUGCUAAUGGGUCUGUAUCUCAAUACAAUAUUAAUUUUGGUCUCAUACAGCAAUAAAAUAAUUUGUAUAAUCUAUGCUCACUUAUUAAGGUCCUGUGGAAAUAGUCCAAUAAAAAUAUUCUCAUGCUAACCAUACUAUCUAGUAUACAUAAGAAUGGUAGUCAUUAUUUUUGACACUAACCAUGAGGCAGAGACAGCAUUAACCCCUUUAGUGUAAGACAUUCCAGUGGAUUUCCAUCUCUCAUAUUAUUAAAUAUGCACUUCUUAUCCUGGUGGACACCAUCCACUAAGCUGGCCCUCUUAUCUCCAGCCUCACCUCCUUUCACUACUCUCCCUGCUCUCUACAUUCCAACAACACAGACCUUUUGAUUCGCUCUCACCACAUUCCCUGCGUUCUACCUGAUAUGCUCCUCCACAGUAUCUUAGUCAGUGUGGGCUGCUAUAACAAAAUACCACAGACUAAGUGGCUUAAACAACAGACGUUUAUUAUUCAGAGUUCUGGAGGAGGGAAGCCCAAAAACAAGGCUCUGGCAAACUGGGUCCUUCUGAAGGAUCUCUCCUUGGCUUGCGGACAUUUCUCCUCUCCUUGUGUCCUCAGAUGGUAAAGAGAAUGAGAGUUCCUGUCUCUUCCUCUUCUUAUAAAGGCAUUAAUCUCAUUGCGAUGGCACCACCCUCACAAUCCCCUCUAAAUCUAAUUACCUCCCAAAGGCUCCACCUCCACAUACCCUCACAUUGCGGAUUAGAGCUUUAACAUAUGAAUUUUGAGGGAACACGAACAUUCAGCCCACAACAUGUGGGCCUUGGCAUAACUUACUUCAUCACACUCCAUAUAGGUCCUACUCAAAACCGUCUUCCCAGAGAGGCUGUCCCUGUUAACUUCAACUAUAACCUCCCUAUUGUCCUAGGUUACUCAGUUAUAAGGCAGGAGAUAGUAAAGCCAGAAUUUGACCUGGGUCUAUUUUAACUUCAGACUCUUUAACCACUUCAAUACGAGCGUCGACUAUGAACGCGCACAGCCGAGCGCCGACUGUAGCCGACAGCCAUGAUAUGAAAGCACACAGCCGAGUGUUGACUGUAGCAUUAAUAACA